rnacentral:misc_RNA from 1 species
GAUGAAGAACGUAGCGAAAUGCGAUAAGUAAUGUGAAUUGCAGAAUUCAGUGAAUCAUCGAAUCUUUGAACGCACAUUGCGCCCGCCAGUAUUCUGGCGGGCAUGCCUGUUCGAGCGUCAUUUCAACCCUCAAGCCCCCGGGCUUGGUGUUGGGGAUCGGCGUGCCCUCGCGGCGCGCCGUCCCCUAAAUCUAGUGGCGGUCUCGCUGUAGCUUCCUCUGCGUAGUAGCAACACUCGCACUGGAUCGCAGCGCGGCCACGCCGUUAAACCCCCCACUUCUGAAAGUUUGACCUCGGAUCAGGUAGCAAUACCCGCUGAACUUAAGCAUAUCAAUAAGCGGAGGA